rnacentral:rRNA from 1 species
UACGUAGGGUGCGAGCGUUAAUCGGAAUUACUGGGCGUAAAGCGUGCGCAGGCGGUUCGUUAUGUCCGAUGUGAAAGCCCCGAGCUCAACUUGGGAAUGGCCAUGGAAACUGGCGAACUGGAGUGUGGCAGAGGGGGGUGGAAUUCCGCGUGUAGCAGUGAAAUGCGUAGAGAUGCGGAGGAACACCGAUGGCGAAGGCAGCCCCCUGGGCUAGCACUGACGCUCAGGCACGAAAGCGUGGGGAGCAAACAGG